rnacentral:pre_miRNA from 1 species
UCAUUUUUGUGAUUGGUGCAAUUUGGUUAACACAAUUGCAUAGUCAUAAAAGUGAUG